AACGAACGCUGGCGGCAUGCCUAACACAUGCAAGUCGAACGAAGCCUUCGGGCUUAGUGGCGCACGGGUGCGUAACGCGUGGGAAUCUGCCCUUGGGUUCGGAAUAACAGUUAGAAAUGACUGCUAAUACCGAAUGAUGUCUUCGGACCAAAGAUUUAUCGCCCAAGGAUGAGCCCGCGUCGGAUUAGCUAGUUGGUGAGGUAAAGGCUCACCAAGGCGACGAUCCGUAGCUGGUCUGAGAGGAUGAUCAGCCACACUGGGACUGAGACACGGCCCAGACUCCUACGGGAGGCGAGCAGUGGGGAAGUUUUGGUACGAAUAGGGGCGGGAACCCC
rnacentral:rRNA from 1 species